GAAGCAGCCACCCUUUAAAGAAAGCGUAAUAGCUCACUAGUCGAGUCGGCCUGCGCGGAAGAUGUAACGGGGCUAAAACUAUGUGCCGAAGCUGCGGAUGUAUACUUUGUAUACGUGGUAGGGGAGCGUUCUGUAAGCCGAUGAAGGUGUGUUGAGAAGCNAUGCUGGAGGUAUCAGAAGUGCGAAUGCUGACGUGAGUAACGACAAAACGGGUGAAAAACCCGUUCGCCGAAAGACCAAGGGUUCCAGUCCAACGUUAAUCGGGGCUGGGUGAGUCGACCCCUAAGGCGAGGCCGAAAGGCGUAGUCGAUGGGAAAAUGGUUAAUAUUCCAUUACUUCUGUGUAAUGCGAUGAGAGGACGGAGAAGGCUAAAUCAGCCUGGCGUUGGUUGUCCAGGUGAAAGGAUGUAGGCAUGUAUCUUAGGCAAAUCCGGGGUACUCUAUGCUGAGAUCUGAUAGCAAGCUGUACUUGUACAGCGAAGUGGUUGAUGCCAUGCUUCCAGGAAAAGUCUCUAAGCUUCAGUUACACAGGAAUCGUACCCGAAACCGACACAGGUGGUCAGGUCGAGUAGACCAAGGCGCUUGAGAGAACUCUGCUGAAGGAACUAGGCAAAAUGGUACCGUAACUUCGGGAGAAGGUACGCUGUUGUUGGUGAUGGAACUCGCUUCCUGAGCUGACGACAGCCGCAGAAACCAGGCCGCUGCAACUGUUUAUUAAAAACAUAGCACUCUGCAAACACGAAAGUGGACGUAUAGGGUGUGAUGCCUGCCCGGUGCUGGAAGGUUAAUUGAUGGGGUUAGCGUAAGCGAAGCUCUUGAUCGAAGCCCCAGUAAACGGCGGCCGUAACUAUAACGGUCCUAAGGUAGCGAAAUUCCUUGUCGGGUAAGUUCCGACCUGCACGAAUGGCAUAAUGAUGGCGGCGCUGUCUCCAGCAGAGGCUCAGUGAAAUCGAAAUCGCUGUGAAGAUGCAGUGUACCCGCGGCUAGACGGAAAGACCCCGUGAACCUUUACUGCAGCUUGACACUGAACUUUGACCUUACUUGUGUAGGAUAGGUGGGAGGCUUUGAAGCUGGAACGCUAGUUCCAGUGGAGCCGUCCUUGAAAUNNNACCGUGUCUGGUGGGUAGUUUGACUGGGGCGGUCUCCUCCUAAAGAGUAACGGAGGAGUACGAAGGUGCGCUCAGCGUGGUCGGAAAUCACGCGUAGAGUAUAAAGGCAAAAGCGCGCUUAACUGCGAGACCCACAAGUCGAGCAGGUACGAAAGUAGGUCUUAGUGAUCCGGUGGUUCUGUAUGGAAGGGCCAUCGCUCAACGGAUAAAAGGUACUCUGGGGAUAACAGGCUGAUACCGCCCAAGAGUUCAUAUCGACGGCGGUGUUUGGCACCUCGAUGUCGGCUCAUCUCAUCCUGGGGCUGAAGCAGGUCCCAAGGG
rnacentral:rRNA from 1 species